GUAGGUGGCAAGCGUUGUCCGGAAUUAUUGGGCGUAAAGCGCGCGCAGGUGGGUUCUUUAAGUCUGAUGUGAAAGCCCCCGGGCUCAACCGGGGAGGUCAUUGGAAACUGGGGAACUUGAGUGCAGGAGAGGAAAGUGGAAUUCCACGCGUAGCGGUGAAAUGCGUAGAUAUGUGGAGGAACACCAGUGGCGAAGGCGACUUUCUGGCCUGUAACUGACACUGAGGCGCGAAAGCGUGGGGAGCAAACAGGAUUAGAUACCCUGGUAGUCCACGCCGUAAACGAUGAGUGCUAAGUGUUGGGGGGUUUCCGCCCCUCAGUGCUGCAGCUAACGCAUUAAGCACUCCGCCUGGGGAGUACGGUCGCAAGACUG
rnacentral:rRNA from 1 species